UUAAAGGCCCUUCUGAGGGCCACAAUUCAGUUUGGGGGAAAACAAAU
rfam:Daphnia magna strain Xinb3 scaffold00640, whole genome shotgun sequence.